AUGUUCUCUGUGUCUCUAGUGCAGCUCUUGGUAGCCACAUCCUCUGUAAUGGGUCAGACGCUGACUGAGUCUGAACCAGUGAUCAUUAAACCUGGUGGAUCUCAUAAACUGACCUGUACAGCCUCUGGGUUUAACUUUGGGAGCUAUAGCAUGCACUGGAUCGGACAGGCUCCUGGAAAAGGACUGGAGUGGGUGUCAUAUAUCAAAUACGAUAGUAGUAAAAUGUAUUACUCCAGUUGUGUCCAGGGAAGGUUCACCAUCUCCAGAGAUAACAGUAAGAAUCAGCUAUAUCUACAGAUGAACAGUCUGAAGACUGAAGACACAGCUGUGUAUUACUGUGUCAGA